rnacentral:rRNA from 1 species
GACGAACGCUGGCGGCGUGCUUAACACAUGCAAGUCGAACGGAAAGGCCCUGCUUUUGUGGGGUGCUCGAUUGGCGAACGGGUGAGUAACACGUGAGUAACCUGCCCUUGACUUUGGGAUAACUUCAGGAAACUGGGGCUAAUACCGGAUAGGAUCUCCUGCUGCAUGGUGGGGGUUGGAAAGUUUCGGCGGUUGGGGAUGGACUCGCGGCUUAUCAGCUUGUUGGUGGGGUAGUGGCUUACCAAGGCUUUGACGGGUAGCCGGCCUGAGAGGGUGACCGGCCACCUUGGGACUGCGAUACGGCCCAGACUCCUACGGGAGGCAGCAGUGGGGAAUAUUGCACAAUGGGCGGAAGCCUGAUGCAGCAACGCCGCGUGCGGGAUGACGGCCUUCGGGUUGUAAACCGCUUUCGCCUGUGACGAAGCGUGAGUGACGGUAAUGGGUAAAGAAGCACCGGCUAACUACGUG